UACGGAGGGUGCAAGCGUGUCCGGAUUUAUUGGGUUUAAAGGGUGCGUAGGCGGCUGAUUAAGUCAGCGGUGAAAUUCCACAGCUCAACUGUGGAACUGCCAUUGAUACUGGUUAGCUUGAGUACAGAUGAGGUAGGCGGAAUUGACAGUGUAGCGGUGAAAUGCUUAGAUAUUGUCAAGAACACCUAUUGCGAAGGCAGCUUACUAAGCUGUAACUGACGCUGAGGCACGAAAGCGUGGGGAUCAAACAGG
rnacentral:rRNA from 1 species